GCCAGCAGCUUGCUCUCUGCCCACUGAAGCUAAGCAGGGCUGCGUCCGGUCAGUACCUAGAUGGGAGACCGCAUGGAAAAGCUAGGUUGCUGCCGGAA
rnacentral:rRNA from 1 species